rnacentral:lncRNA from 1 species
CAUAUAAUUCAAUGAAACUUUACAAUCCCUAGCGUUUUCUAUGAUUCUUUAGUUGACAAAAAUAUCCCAGGCCGCCACCUAGCCGACCAUCAACCAUGGGCUCAAUCUUUUUCAGCUGCACAAACGAUUCAAGAAAAGAUGGUAUAAUAAACACACAAACUAACUUCUUUAGUUUUACAGUCUUAUUGCAUAUUUUUUAUGUGCAUAUUUUCUUUAUGAUUAUGUGCAUAUUUUCUUUAUGAUUGUUUUAGAAGUAUGUCAUUGACAUUGAGAGUCCAUAUCUUUUUGGUGUGCAUAUUUUCUUAGGAAUAGAAGAUCAAAAAGAUAAGGUGAUGCCUGAGUUAUCAGCAAAAGCAAGAACCAAUAUGGUUACUAAGACAUGGAAGUUUACUUGGAGAAUACAAAACAAUUCUUGUUUGAAAGAAAAACGGUUACUCUCUCGUACUUUUUGUAGUUAAUGGUUAUAGAUAGUAGUUGUUUAGUUCUUUAGUUCUAUGUGCUAGCAAUACAUCUACAUGCCAAAUUUGUGAAUUUUCUUUUUCUAUUUCUAGGUAAAUUUCAAUUUUUCUCAAAGGGGACGGAGACUAUUGUGAUCACUUGUCUAUAUAUGUUCGUGUUGCUGAGCCACAUAGGUUACCUCAUGAUGUGUGGAGUAGACAUAGUGCUAGAUUUAGUCUAGUAGUUAUUUAUGACUCCAAGAGUUAAAAAGCCUCUACUAAUUACUACUACUACUAUUAUUUAUAACUAGUAAAUACUUUUACUGUAAGAUAAAAAUUAAAGUAUAUGACAAGUUAAUAUUUAGCAUAUCAGUUAAUCAUUUGUGUAAAUAUACUACCUUGGUUCUUGUUUCAAAAAACUUAUAAUUAACAUAUAUGAAGAUUUGAGUAGUUAAUUCAAAGUUUUAAAACAUUAAGCAAAGUUUUAUUUUUGAAAACUUGAAAUAAUAACUUAAAAUUUUUGGAAAUGGGGCUUAUUACAUUCCUAAUGUCAUGACCAUACAAGGAAAUAAUAAUUUUUUUUAUAAUUAUUUGAAAAUUUCAAAAAUAGAGAUAAUGAAAUAUGAAAUUUAAAGAUUAGUUGUAACUUUUUAACAAAGAUUAUAGUUUUCUUGUGGUAAGUAAUCUUAUAUUAAAUAAAGAUCAAAAAAUAAAUAUAAUAAAUUUAAAUAUGAAAGUUUUUAAUCAUACAUUAUAAUUAUCAUUUUGCCCAACAUGUAAUAUAUUUAUGAAGGAUAGAAAAAUUGACGGACAUUUUGUGUGGGAGUUUCUUGCUUUAUUUAAUAUAUAGUACCAAUCUUAUGGUACGCGCUUUUGAGUGUGUACCUAUCUCAAUUGAUAUAUUUAAUAAAAUUUAAUAAAUAUCAUUAAAUAAUAUGUUUGAGUUAUAAAAUUAAAAAUUAAAAAAAAGGUGUAAGUUCGUGAUCAAAAUAAUUAAUGUUGGUCAUACUUAGCUAGAUCAACAGUGGAAGAAUCAUUCCAUGAAGAAAUCCUCAAACAGUGCAACACUAAUAGGCUGAGGCAGAUUUAGGAUUUCUUGAAUAUGGGUGCAUCACUAGAAAAAGUAGAAAAAAAUGUAUUAAAUAAGAAUUGAUCCUUAUUUCUCAAGGUAAAUAACCCAAUAUUCAACAAAGUACACCAUUCAAUAUUUUUGCAGCAUGGGUGCCAACAGAUAAUAUUAGACUAAUUCUAAAAAAUAUGUACAUAAAAUACCUAGUUUGAUGGUGAGACCAUGGGUUGCCUUGCCCUUUAAUUAGGGUUAUAUCUUGUAAUGAUCCGACCAGUCAUUUUGAGAGUUUGUAGCCCAGUUCCCCCAUUUACUGCUCAAUUUGCUUUAUAGCUGUCAUGUGACUUAUCGGGGUAGUCGGUUCAGGUUCGGUGAUAUUUUGAAAUGAAUUGAGAUAUUUAGAAUCCAAAAUGAAAAAUUAAGUUGAAAAGAUCGACUGGAUGUCGACUUAUAUGUAAACAACCCCGAAAUAGAAUUUUGAUGAUUCCAAUAGUUUCGUAUGGUGAUUUUGGACUUAGAAGCGUGUCCGAAAUUUUAUUUGAAAGUCCGUAGUUAAAUUAGGUUUUAAAUGGCUAAAAUAGAGGUUUAAGUUUGGAAGUUUGACCCGAGAGUUGACUUUUUGAUAUCGGAGUCGGAAUCCAAUUCUGAAAAUUUUUCAUAGCUCCGUUAUGUCAUUUAUGACUUGUGUGCAAAGUUUGAGGUCAAUCAGACUUGAUUUGAUAGGUUUCGGCAUCGAAUGUAGAAGUUGGAAAUUCUUAAGUUCCUUAAGCUUGAAUUGGGGUAUGAUUCAUGGUUUUAGCGUUGUUUGAUGUGAUUUGAGGUUUCAACUAAGUUUGUAUGCUGUUGUAGGACUUGUUGGUAUAUUUGGUUGAGGUCCCGGGGUCUCGGGUGAGUUUCGGAAGGUUAACGGAUCAAUUUUGGACUUGAAGAACAACUAAAGAAUUUAUGAUGUCCAGCUCUGGUUUCCUUCUUCGCGUUCGCGAAAGGGAACUGGGGCAGGCGAGAGUUUGUUCUUCGCGUUCACGAAGCAAGGGACGCGUUCGCAAAGGGUGAGCGCCAGUGUGCAUCGUGAACGCGCGCACGAGAGAGAGAGAGGUCACGUGUUCGUGAAGAAGAGUGAGAGUUGGGGUGGACUUCACGCGUUAGCCUACACGUUCGCGAGUGAGGCGUCGCGCUCGCGAAUGUGUAAUGACCUGACUUGUCACUUUAAGAAUUUACAUUCUGUUCGGUGGCUUAAGGUCUCGAGCAACNNNNNNNNNNNNNNNNNNNNNNNNNCAGAAUGGAGUUUUGAUGAUUCCAAUAGCUCUGUAUGGUGGUUUUGGACUUAGGAGCGUGUCUGGAAAAUAUUUUGGAAGUCCGUAGUGAAAUUUUGCUUGAAAUGGCGAAAGUUGAAUUUUUGAAAAGUUUGACUGGGGAGUUGACAUUUUGAUAUUGGGGUCGGAAUCCAGUUCUGAAAAAUUUUAUUGAUCUGUUAUGUCAUUUAUGACUUGUGUGCAAAAUUUGAGGUCAAUCGGAAUUAAUUUGGUAGGUUUCGGUAUCAAAUGUAGAAGUUAAAAAUUCUUAAGUUCUUUAAGCAUGAAUUGGGGUAUGAUUCGCGGUUUUAGCAUUGUUUGAUGUAAUUUGAGAUUUCAACUAAGUUCGUAUGAUAUUUUAGGACUUGUUGGUGUAUUGGGUUGAGGUCCCGAGGGCCUCAGGUGAGUUUCAGAGUGAUUUCAGAUCAUUUUUAACUGCUGGUUUUUUUGACAGCAAUGUGCGAAAUUUCUGAUACGCAGGGCUGACUUUGGAAUCUUAUAUCUCGAAAUCUAUAAGGAAUCUGAAAAUGAUCAAAACAUGAAAGUUACAUUUCUUUAAUUCUAGUUUCUAGAAUGAAAAACCGUUCAUCAUUCGGAUAUUUGUACAAAAUGUUAUAAUCGAUUGACUGAAGCUAGUACUGCAGAUUUUGGCUACAGCAGUGUGCAUCGCCAGAAAUUUCUGCUGCACAGGGCUGAGUUUGGGAGCUUAUAUAUCGCAAUCUAUAAGGAGUUGGGCGAUGAGCAGACCAUAAAAGUUAUAUAUCUUUCUGUUUAGUUUGCAGAAAUGUAAACCGUUUGGCAGUUGGAGUUGAGAACAAGAAGUUAUGGUUGAUACACUACAGGCUGUCGGGGAAGAGUUUUGGAAGAGUUUGAUGUUUUCAGCAUAAGCAUGUAAUGAUCUAAAGGUCCAUUUUUAGUUCUAGAGAUCUAAAUUCGAUUUCGAGGCUACCGGAAUUUUGAUAAUGAAUUAUAGGAGUGAUCUGAAAAGUUUGGUCUAAUUUCAUCAAGUCGCAAUUGGGUUUUUAAUGCGAAACAUGAGUUAAUUAUUUAACGAGCCAAAUUGGUAUCGCAUUGAGCAAAUGAGCUCCGAAUUGAGUUUCGAUUGAACGACUAGGUUCAUAUUAUUAUUAUUAUUUGCUACUCAUAGGAACAAGAAUCGUCGAAUUCCGAGUUCGUAUGAUGGAGUUAGAGCCUUUUUAGUGAAAACCAUAACUGCUGGUGCAAGCAAGUUUUGGUAUGGACUUUUAGUGACGGAAAAUGGACUUUUAGUGACAGAUGGACAGAAACUGAAGGACCAAAAAUGGUCAUUUUCUUCAUUUCGUUUUUGGAUUUUUGGAGCACGGUUCUUGGGCGAUUUUGAGGAUUUCUUCACGACUUCGACUUGGGUAAGUGUCCUAUAUCCAAAAGUGAUUAUAUUUCAUAAAUCCAUGGUUAUAUUCAUCAUUUAUUUCAGAUUUAAAUGGAAGAAAUCAAGAUUUUUGCAAAACGUUUCAAGAACGAAAAUUUUAGAUUUGGAGGUCGAGUUAUUAUCGGAAUUUGAUAAAACUGGUAUGGGUGGACUCGUAAUUGAAUGGAUUGUCGGAUUUUGUGAGUUUUGUUGGAUUCUGAGAUGUAGGCCCCAUGGGUGAUUUUUGAGUUAAAUUUUGGAUUUUGUUGGAAAAGUAGUAUUUUCAUAUGGAAUUAAUUCCUAUAAUUAGUAUUGACUGAAUUGAAUUAAUUUGGAUAGAUUUCAGCUGUCCGGAGGUCAAUUCAAGUAAGAAGGCAAUUUUGGAAUAUCGGCCUAACUUAAAAAAGAUAAGUAUCUUGCCUAGCCUUGUGUGGGGGAAUUUCCUCUAGGCAUUGAGUCUUAUGUAGAAAUUUUAUGAUUGAAAAAUCAUGUACGCGAGGUGACGAGUACGUACUUGAUUUAUAUGUGCAAACUAUAUCGGUUAGAAAUUUGUAGACACCCUUAUGUAUUAAAUUGGAAAAUUGUGGAAAUUUAGUAAAUCCUUGAUUUGUCAUGCCUCAUUCUUUGUUUGUUGAGUUUGUAUUUAUAUGAUAAUUUGGUGUGAUUGCGACUUGGAAUUUUAGGAGAAUUUCGUGUGUUUGUUGAUUUGAUAUUUUCUGAAAAUAAUUAUAAUAUGAAUUUUUCCGUAUGCAAAUAAUUUAUUAAAUAAGCUUAAAUUGAGGUACUAAUAUAUUUUUAAAAAAUUUGGACUAAAGAAGGUGUUGUGUCAUGCUGAGUUAAUUUUCCUUUCUUGUUGUUAUUUUCGAGGUUUAUAUACGUUGUGUAGAGCCUUGGGCUAUUUGCUGUGAAAUUAAUUAAUUUUGUUGCAUCUUUGGAAUUAGUUGUGGCCUAUGGGCAAUUUAUAAUAUGAAUUUUUGUUUUUUGUUAUCGUGGUAAUAUCCGUGUAAAUUGUUGUGUGAUUUAGGUUACUGUUAUGCGGCGAAUAAGGGUGGCAUUCCACUGUUGAUAUUAUGUGUGUAUAAGGGUGGCAUUUCACUGUGGUUAUGUGUAUUGGGAUAUUGUCUAGGCGGAGCGAUAAGGGUGGCUAUUAAUCAGAGCGGUAAGGGAGGCUAAUAUAUGAGCGACAAAGGAGGCUAUUGUAGGAGUGAUAAGGGUGGCUAUAGGAGAGCUAAGGAUGGCUAUUGUCAGGGAUGAUAUGUGAUGAUGUGAAGUUAUUGCGUUGGUAAUUUUUAUGUGAUGUUGUGAUUUUUCUUGUGUUUAUUUUUAUAUCUUGUGCAAUUUGUCUUGUUGUUUCGGUAAACUUGAUAAUAGUCUGAUCUAUAUUGAAAUUGGGAGCAUGUGGCUAUUACCAG